GCCGGGAUGGAGAAAUGGUAGACUCGGGGGUCUCAAAAGCCCCUUCCCCUUAAAGGAGUGUCGGUUCGAGUCCGACUCCCGGCA
rnacentral:tRNA from 1 species